UACAGAGGUCUCAAGCGUUUGUUCGGAUUCAUUGGGCGUAAAGGGUGCGUAGGCGGCGCGGUAAGUCGGGUGUGAAAUCUCGGGGCUUAACUCCGAAACUGCAUUCGAUACUGCCGUGCUUGAGGACUGGAGAGGAGACUGGAAAUUUGACGGUGUAGCGGUGAAAUGCGUAGAUAUCGUAAGGAAGACCAGUGGCGAAGGCGGGUCUC
rnacentral:rRNA from 1 species